UUCCUCAUUUCUCUUUCCUUAAGGUUUUUACACAAAAUUCAUGAUCUACGAAGAUCUAAUGGUCCGAUCUUCGAUCCGUCUUCAGAAACAUGAUCCCUGCACUUGGAUCUACGUUUCCACCGAUCGUUUUGAGUGAUACAUUGCAAGGUGAUGUCUAGGAGACCUAGGGCUUAAUAUCCGCGCAGCCAGAUGAUGUCCAUUUGACUGCAGGUACACCUGACUUAGAGGGGACCCCGUAGCUGCGUAUUUGAGAUAUUACGAUUGAAGCACACCGCGACAGUCGUAUUGAGUUGGACUAUGGAGUUCACUCUUUUGGGGUAUUUUGUAUAUGGCUCUUUUGUAUGGACCACAUGUAUAUUUAGAUGUGCUUUCCGUUAUGUGAUGCAACCUUAUGAUUAUUCCGCUGUUAGAUAUUACUCUGAAUAUCAGGUACAUGAUAUGGAGCAUGUAUGUAUGUUGGCUGAGCGACACGUAGUCGUGCCACUGUGAUGAACCUUUUAUGUUUUAUAAAUAUUUUAUACAAAAAAAAAAAUAAAAAAAAUGGGUCGUCACAGCAGAUGGUAUCAGAGCAGUUAGCUCUAGGGUUGG